ACGUAGGGGGCGAGCGUUAUCCGGAUUCACUGGGCGUAAAGGGCGCGCAGGCGGCUAUGUAAGUCCGGCGUGAAAUCCCAUGGCUCAACUGUGGAACUGCGUCGGAUACUGCAUUGGCUUGAGGAUGGUAGAGGCUUCUGGAACUAGCGGUGUAGCGGUGAAAUGCGCAGAUAUCGCUAGGAACGCCGGUGGCGAAGGCGGGAGGCUGGGCCAUUCCUGACGCUGAGGCGCGAAAGCUAGGGGAGCGAACCGGA
rnacentral:rRNA from 1 species